CUAUGCACUUGAGCUCAAAAAUUUAUAGAGAAAUGAAGGAUUUUACUUGAGUUCUUAUGGAGAAAAUUGAGAAAAAGUGAAGAGAAAAUGAAUAGGUGCUAAAAUGAAUGAGCCGAGAUAAUUUUCUGCCCAAAAAAAGGUUCCCAUGUGAAAUAAGUAAAAAAAAAAAAAAUCCAAAAAUUCUCAGCUGGGAAAGUAAUGGCCACUACAAGCAUUACUUAGUUGUCAAUAACGGCCGUUACCUUAAAAUAACGGCCGUAAUGGCCUUUACAGUUUCAAUUUUAAAAAUCCUUUAUAUAACGGUGGUAAUGGUAACCCAAAAUUCCUUUGGAUAACAGCCAUUACAUAAUGUAACGGCUGUUAUUUAAAACAGUGCAUAUGAGUGCAUCAGGGGAGUUGCUGUAAUUUGUGUAUGAGUUUGUGAGCUGCUUCUUGUUUGUCUUGCUCAAGUUCACAUUUGCCUUUCCAUGUACUUUGAAUUUAUUUGGUUAAUAAAUUUUCUGCUAGAAUUUGGUAGAAUUUUAGAAUUGGUUUCUUUUUUAACAAUUGAAACAUGCACUUAUUAUUUUGGUUGCUGAUUCUCAAUAUGCAAUGGACUUUUCUUUGCCUGUAUGGGUGAGCAGUUACGUCGAAUAUGCAGGACAUCUGGAGUGCAGGUUUCCUUUGACACCACAAAUACACGGGAUUCUUUCUAUCGUGCAUCUGUUGACUAUGUUUUGAAAGUAUGCAGCAGUGCCCCAAGUUACCAUAAUGUUAUUCAAAUUGAUGGUGAAGAUGCACAGCGGUUCAUUGCUGGGCUUGCUGAAAACAUUGGGCUUGAGAAUAUUCGUGCUGCUAGAAUGGUGUCUGCAGCUGUUGCUGCUCGCACACGAUCGUGUUUCUUACAGGCAUGGGCUCUAGAAGUCCAAGGUAAACAUUCUGAAGCAGUACUGGAACUGUCAAAGAUAUGCCUUGUUCUCCGAGCAUUUCCUCCUGAAGAAUCCUCACCUGAGAUGGAGAUGGUUGCUCGGGGCCUAGGAAAACACUUGAAAGUGGAGCAGAGGGAACUUUUAAUGGAUAUGUAUGUUUCAGUUUGCAGUGAAGAGUCUCAUAGAAGUGCAGCAGAUGCUCUUGGUUUGAUGCUCUCACCUAGAGGUUUUGGUGAUCAACAUGAAAGCAAGCAUACAUGAAUAUUGUCUUGAAAUACAUUUUAAUUUUUUUUAUUAUACAUGUAUUAAUUGCAAUUUAAUAAAGGUCAUAGUGUAGAUUGCCAAUUAAUCAAAUAUCAUUAAUUUCUUGUUCUGAGUAAUAUUGUUCAGUUAUUUACUCUGCAAGUGCGACUGUUAUCUUUCCUGGGUUUGUAUGUUGGUGUUAUUUGUCGGGUGUGAUUACAUAGAGUUCAAGC
rnacentral:misc_RNA from 1 species